UACGUAGGGUGCGAGCGUUGUCCGGAAUUAUUGGGCGUAAAGGGCUCGUAGGCGGUUUGUCGCGUCGGGAGUGAAAACACACAGCUUAACUGUGUGCUUGCUUCCGAUACGGGCAGACUAGAGGUAUGCAGGGGAGAACGGAAUUCCCUGUGUAGCGGUGAAAUGCGUAGAGAUGGGGGGAGAACACUCGUGGCGAAGGCGGCCAGCUGGACCAGUUCUGACACUGAGGCGCGACAGCGUGGGGAGCAAACAGG
rnacentral:rRNA from 1 species